rnacentral:lncRNA from 1 species
UUUUUAAGGAAAGACCCAUUUACCCCAAGGCACUGUUAUGCAAUCUGCACCCCAGUGUGAUGACCACACCAAGCACCCAGGGGUCUGAGCCUGGACUCGUGGGUCACUGCAAGUGUUUGGCAGGUGGGACAAAGACCGUGAAGGCGGCGGCAGGCUUUGGUUCCUGCACGUCUGAGGGUCCCCUGCCAGGCCCUGGGAGGCGCUGCGUCAGGAGCCCCGUGACCUUUGAUGACCCGGGAAGCCGAGGCUGUUUGUGCCUCUCCCACCUCUGGAAACACCUGGGGGUUCUGGCCACAUGCUCUGUUAGUUGAGCAUCUCUGUGGAGGUCUCCAUCCCUGGCUGCGUGCAGUGUUGGGUUUCAGAGCACCAGCAGGUGGGGCAGGGUGCCAUGUGCCCUUGCCGGGUGCCUUCGGUCCAAAUACUGCAGACGCGCAGGGCUCGCCUCUGAGGGGGGCGGGCAUUUGAGUCACAGCCGGCUGCAGGAACAGGCUGCCCCGCACUGAAGGCAGCCAGGCCGGGCUGGGGCAGGUCCCGCAGCCAGGCUGCUCCUGCACGGGAGCUCCUCCUCCUCAGCCCGUCCGCGGCCUCCUGCCUUCACCGCAGCUGCUGCCGGCACUACCAGGCUGGCCCAGCUCUAGGGCAACAGGGGCCUCUUGUGGCAAGGGGCGGGACAAGUAAAGAGGCUGGCUUUUGUCCUGCGCUUUUCCUUCCCAAGCUUUGCAAUUCUGGGGCACCUGCAAACUAAGGCUAGUGUCACCCAAGGGUCUCUGUGCUUGGUAACUGAUGUGAGCCACGUACCAGGAUUUCCCCGUUUUCUGAGAAACCCAGCCCAGUGCCCACUCAGCCUCCACCUACCAUGCGCCACCUGCCAUACUCCACGGUCAUGCUUCACCCGCGAAGCCUGAUGAGCUAGUCACCACCCACAUGACUGAUGGGUAAACUGAGGCACAAGAGAUUCCUCAUGCACCUAUAGUUGUAUGGUCUGCAGUGAGGUAGCCGAUGCCAGAGCUGUGUCCUCCCUCCAUAGAAGCCAGGAGAAAGGCCAGACUGAAGUGACCUGCUGAAGCCUUUGUCUUUUGACAUUGAAUUCCGUUUGCCCACUGCCAUCAAGACUGCUUUUAAGGAGCUUCUGCGACAUGAUCUCUUACAGGAACCUGAAGGGCCGAGAAGUCCUGCUGUGUUUGGUGCCAUCAUCUCUUACUUUGAACAGUUUUUUGAAACUGUUGGAAUUUCUCUGGCAAAUCAACAGGUAGGUCCUAUUAUUUUAAAUGCUUAAUUCUGGAAUUUUCUCCAUGUUGGGACAAUAACCUUUACCCUUUUAACUUGGAAUAGAGCAUUAUGAUGCCACACUAAUGUAUUUACCUGUUUAAAAACAUGUUACUUUCCUGGAAAAAUAAACACACUCAGAGCCAAUACUUAUUAAUUGGAAUUGCACAAUUCUACUUCUGCAGUUGGCAAACUCUCGUGCGCAGAACCAGAGAUGAGUCCAUCUCAGCAACAGAAUGUCGCCAGCUCUGCACACACGUUUAUGUUCAAAGACUCUCAGAAUGUGCAGAAGUCACAGGCACAGUAAGAGAACAUUUUUUCCUGACCCAUUUGAGGGCAAGUUGGCGACCUGAGCCCCCUUGCCUGGCACAUGUUUUGUACGGACAGGACGGGCUCCCCGACAGGCACGAGUCACCUGCACCUUCCCAGCGAGGCUCACCCUGGCUGUGCAGUGAAGGUGGACGCUGCCAGGCUUCUCCACAUUCCUUCUCUUCCGUUGUAACUCAAGAGCAUUUUUGCAAAGAGACUUGGAUCCUAUGAAAAUGUCCUCUUCCUUAUCAGGCUCACCUGAAACUCGUUUAUUCUAUCAAUACAGAUUUGAGGUUUCCUGCCUUAUUCUUAAAGUCCCCACCAUCACUUUGUAUGUGGCUGACAGAGGCCCCUUGGGGCUGGCGCUGUGUCCCUGAACAUCCCUGUCAUUCUUUGGACACCCUUGUAGAAUUCUCAGCACAAGGCGCUCUGGCUCUUUUGGGGUGUGGCUCGGCUGCUGCUGCCUGGACGGGGGCUGCCACUCUAGACCAGCUGCCCAGCACCCCGAGGGUCCCGCCGCUUGGGACUGGGGCCCAAGCAGGUGUGCUGAAGGCCUGGCUCUGGGCCAAACAUGUCUCGCUGGCUCUCAACAGAGAACUAUAGUGUCUUUUCCAAGUUUGGCUCAUUUGUAUACCUGUUGAUCACCUGGUAGACUUAGUUCCCCUUUCCAGCAGUCCGGCGUCUGUUGCCAAUCACAUAAAAGUCGACUGGUGUGAGAUGACCCAAGUUUUUGCAAUGUACAUGUUCAUUUUUAGGGGUGGCUUUCCGGAGUCUGUUUUGAGUAAGAAAAGUGGGAUCUGGCCAAGCUCUGCCUAGCCCUUGUCAAAGAUAUCUCAUUCACCUUCCUCUGGCCGCAAGGCCCAAUGUCUGGGCCCACUCUGGGCUCAUAUUUCUGUAAUAACAAAAACUGUCUUUUAUCAUGGAAGCAAUAACUGAGGGGUGUGUGAGGUUUAAGUAGUUUGACACCAAGGUCAAAUGUUGUGUCUGUUUCUUAUUUUACACACAUGGAUUUAACAAAUAGGUACAGCUGCCCCUUCCACACCGCCCCAGGAUCUGUUCUCAGUGGGAGGACAGCGCGAGGCCUUCUGCGCAAAUCCCGUCCUCAGCACCUGAGGCUGUGAAUCUCAGACCAUUUGCCGAAACACACGUGUGCAAGCGCUCAGUCGCUGCCCCCCAGCCUCAUCCUCAGGUUGCUCCUGAUACCUCGGCCACAAUUGCGUGAGGUCUGGAAGCCAGGGAGCGUUUGUGUUCAGGGCGGGGCGGCAUGCAGCCCCCAGCCCUUUCUUCCAACUCCCGAGUGAGGAUCACUCAGCCUUGCUUGGACGACAGAUGCUCAGAGUUGAGUGGAGCCUUGCCCAGAGCCCAGCGCUCGCGGGCUGUACCCAUCCCUGCCAGACCCAGAAAGAGGCCCAGCUGCAGGGAAUCAGGGAAGCCCAGGGCUGGGUGGGUGUCGGCCCAGAGCCCAACCACGGGGUGGGGAGGGGGCAUCCACAAUCCACAGUCUCCGGGGGACGUAACCGCGCCCUGCUGGCUUCAGUACGUUUCAGGAGACGGCAGCGAGGCUACCUUGCAUGGUGUGGUGGACGAGCUGGUGCGGUUCCGGCAGAAGGUCCGGCAGUUUGCGCUGGCCAUGCCCGAGGCCACGGGGGACGCCCGGCGGCAGCAGCUCCUAGAAAGGCAGCCCCUGCUGGAAGCAUGCGACACCCUGCGCCGGGGCCUGACUGCCCACGGCAUCAACAUCAAGGACAGAAGCAGUACAACAUCCACGUGGGAACUGCUGGAUCAAAGGACAAAAGACCAAAAAUCAGCGGGCUGAGGAUGGAGCACAGCCAUGAACCUGCUCACGACAAGACGCACCCAUGCUUCUCAGGGUCAAGGCUUUAUGUUAAAGCUUCCUGUCGGGGCUGCUAGGUCAGCAUUAAAGUAAGGCAACCAACAGUG